UCCCCGGCCUGAGGGGUGCGUCACAGACUCUUACCAGCGCUCCCCGGCCUGAGGGGUGCAUCACAGACUCUUACUGGCACUCCCCUGCCUGAGGGGCACGUCACAGACUCUUGCCGGCACUCCCCUGUCUGAGGGGCGCAGCACUGAUUCCUACCGGCGCUCCCCUGCCUGAGGGGCGAGUCACUGAUUCCUACCGGUGUUCCCAGGCCUGAGGGACAUGCCCCGGACUCUGGCCGGUACUCCUGUGUCACGCUAACUGCGACGGCAUACCUCCCUCCACUAGUUCCCAGCCGAUGGAGAGGUGUGACCAAGGCCUUUCAGCGAGGCAGUAGCUACUCACUGCCCCCCAGCAGCUCAGUGGACCAACUGAGACCUCACUACAAGGAGGAAGGAAGACAAAAGAAUCCUGACUGUCUAUCCAAGAGCAAAAGACCUUCCUGUGCGUUUCUGUGUUUAUUUAGCUGGCUUUUCCAGUCUGUUCUGAUCUUGUGGACUGUGGAUCACCCUGUCUGGGUACUCUGCAAAGUUACACUGGAGCUGCUUGUCUCAGAACUGGGGAGUUGCUUCAUCCUUUGCAGAAAGGAUAUGGCACAUAUUUAUACCUGCUCACUGGGAUAGUCAUUCUGACUCUGUUCCCACCAAUAGCCAUGGGACCAAUGCAGAUUUACUACUGAGGACCUUGGUGUAUGUGCCAAAAAAUAGCAGCACCGAUGAGUAACUUCUAAAUGUGCCUUUGUUUGGGCCAGACGCUGGAACUGACAUAAAUUACAAUCCUGGCUGAUGGCUGGGCUCGUUUUGUCCUGGUCACUGAGUCAGUGGUAGAGGAGGAAAUAGAAUCCAGGUCUCUUGACUCUUAGAACCAAUGUCUGACCCCCAACUACAGACCUUUUCUGCUGUUCCAGUGGUGUCCUAGGGGUGGAAUGGAGCUGUGGGAAUUCCACCAGCUAAGCCGCAGCACAGACUGGAUUAAUGGGAACUGGACAGUCCAUAGUCAGCUUUCAGAAUCCCAGCCGGAGCUGUCCGGCUGCUGCAGGUUGAUGUCUAAACCUAAUAUUUAUUUAAAGCUGGAUUUUUUGUAUUGUAUUUGAAAUAUUCCCCCCUGCCCUGUUUUGGAGAAGAUGCCAACUUGGCUGAGCUAAACAUGCCUCCCGCAUUAUUGAUUUGUCAUACACAGCCUGCUUCAGAGGAACCUAAUCAGGAACACAUCAGCCAGUUUAUAUACCAGAUACUGGGAGAGGCUGAGAGGCUGCAUUGGUGGAGCAGAGCCGGGAGUGCCGCCAGCUUUUCUGCUGCCCUAGGCGGCAGAAGGUCCUGCCCCGAAACGCCGCCCCCCACAGAGGCG
rnacentral:lncRNA from 1 species